ACCAGAUCAAGGUCCAGCAGCUCCAGAUGUCAGCUGACCAGCACGGAGAUAGCCUGAAGAGCACCAAGAAUGAGAUCUCAGAACUCAACAGGAUGAUCCAGAGGAUACGGUCCGAGAUUGAGAACAUCAAGAAGCAGUCCCAGACUCUGCAGGCAUCUGUGGCUGAUGCAGAGCAACGUGGAGAGCUGGCCCUCAAAGAUGCCUACACCAAACGCGCAGACCUGGAGACUGCACUGCAGAAGGCCAAGGAGGACCUGGCCCGGCUGAUGAGGGACUACCAGGAGCUCAUGAAUGUCAAGCUGGCCCUGGAUGUGGAGAUCGCCACCUACCGCAAGCUACUGGAGGGCGAGGAGUGCAGGAUGUCUGGAGAAUGCAAGAGUGCUGUGAGCAUCUCCGUAGUUGGUGGCAGUGCCAGCAUUGGUGGCAGCGGUGGCAUCGGCCUUGGCCUGGGUAGCGGUUUUGGCUCUGGUUCCUGUUCUGGAAGUGGCUUCGGAUUUGGUGGCGGUAUUUAUGGCAGCUCUGGUACCAAGAUCACCUCUUCCGCCACCAUCACCAAGAGAUCCCCACGAUAGACAAGACAGGAUCCUGAUGGCCUUCAGCCCUGAUAUCUCUUGUGUAUCCUUCACUUCACCCCCUACCCCCAGUCUUCCUUCCUGGUGCUCAUCUUGUUAGUCUCCCUCCUCUGCCUUGGUUCCUCAGUUCCAGGAUGACCUUCUUGGCCAUGGUGUGGCCUCUGUCCUCCUGGAGCCUCGUAGCUUCUUCUCAACUUGGGCCGAGUGACCCCCCUGCAUGGGAGGGGUGUCUGAUUUCACCCCAAUGGACAGAGGGAAUGAAGAGCAGGAACUCCUUCUGCAGAAGUACAGGGUCACUCUCGGCCCCUCCAGUCACACCAGCCCCCACCUGAUCCUGGACAUCCAUCUGCUACAACGACACUCAUUCUCCAUCCCCUGACAGCAACGGGCUCUGUCCGGUUGAGACAAAGACUGCUUGGUGUCCUGUUCAGCCCUGCUCCUCUCUCUACUCAUCCCCAAUAAAAAUGCUUUUUGUCAUUC
rnacentral:lncRNA from 1 species